rnacentral:rRNA from 1 species
GACGGCCGGGGCUCCGGUUACUUUCGAUGGUAGUGCUUGGAUACCAUGGCUUUCGCGGGUAACUCGUCAUUAUGGUUCGAUUCUGGAGAAGGAGCCUGAGAGCGGCUACUACAUCUAGGAAGGCAGCAGGCGCGUAAAUUACCCAAUCCUGACUCAGGAAGGUGGCGACAACAUAUAACAACGCACUUUCAUUGUGAUUGUAGUGAGGGUAUUCCAUACCGAACCACUAGCACGAUUAGAGGGCAAGUCUGGUGCCAGCAGCCGCGGUAAUUCCAGCUCUAAUAGCGUAUAUCAAAGUUGCUGCAAUUUAUAAGCUCGUAGUUGUAUUUUCUAGGAUUGCGUACUCUCUCGGAGUAUGCACCCUACUACUCUCUGACUUGAUACUGUGAGAAAAUUAGAGUGUUCUAAGCAGGCUGUUGCAGUAUUACAUUAUCAUCGGAUUACGAAGCAUCUCAAGCACGACAAGCUAGGCACGAUUAUAGAGACUAGUUGGGGGCAUUAGCAUUCAUUGUCUAUGCUGUACUUCGUGGAGUGUGAAGACUACGCAUGCUUAAGCCUUCGCCACCGACGUUUCAUUAUCAGUGCGACCGUCGGGAUCUAAGUCAUCUGAUACUGUCGACUCCUUUCCAUAAGCACGCGACUUGGAUUGCAUGAAGCAUCGCCAUGUCGGUGCUUCAUUCAAUCCAAGUCUUGGAUUCUGAGGGGAGUCGUCGCAGAUCUGACUUAUGAUCCGUACUGCCUCCUGAAUGAACUGCGU